rnacentral:rRNA from 1 species
GACGAACGCUGGCGGCGUGCUUAACACAUGCAAGUCGAACGGAAAGGCCUGCUUUCCCUUGUGGAUUGCGGGUACUCGAGUGGCGAACGGGUGAGUAACACGUGAGUGAUCUGCCCCCAACUUGGGUAUAAGCCUGGGAAACUGGGUCUAAUUCCCGAUAGGACUGCAGGGUGGUGCCUGUGGUGGAAAACGAUUUUCUAGUGGUUGGGGAUGAGCUCGCGGCCUAUCAGCUUGUUGGUGGGGUAAUGGCCUACCAAGGCGGCGACGGGUAGCCGGCCUGGGAGGGUGGACGGCCAAAUUGGGACGGGGAUACGGCCCAGACUCCUACGGGAGGCAGCAGUGGGGAAUAUUGCACAAUGGGCGGAAGCCUGAUGCAGCGACGCCGCGUGGGGGAUGACGGCCUUCGGGUUGUAAACUCCUUUCGACCGCGAGGAAGCCACCUGGUUGGAAGGGUGGUGACGGUAGUGGUAGAAGAAGCACCGGCUAACUACGUG